AAAUGCUUUAAUUUCUCUUUAUUAAAAUAAAAGCAAAUAUAAAAAUAUCACCUAGAAGAUAAUAUAGUACAAUAAUAAUUAUGUGGUAAUCUGAAUCUAUACCUCCAGCUAGCAUCAUCAAAAUCUAAGAUGGAAGCUCUGGGAAUGGGUAGGGUGAAGGAAUGGGUGGAAACAGUAUGAGUGGAAAUGAGGGCUGGGAUGGAUUUCAAGGCAUCUGACUUGGACUACUAAUCAUUUGAAACUGGGGUUUGUUUAUGCCCUGAAAAUGAAAUGUUAUUAGUCAAGUGAGGAUGAUUAUUAUUUUAGGUAAUGCUAUUCCUUAAAAUAUUUAGCUAAGUGACUUCAUGGCUUUUAGGCAAUUACAUAAUUUCUGCAUUUUGUUUGUUUUUGAGCCUGGUUGUCUCUGAGUUCCUGUUUUGGUGCUAAUCUUCAGUGUGUGUUUCUGAAAGUAACCAUGAUGACAGGAAGCAUAUUUUUCUGUAUGCCUAUGACUGGUGUCUGACUACCCUACUGGUACUAGAGAUUAAAAGACACUUUCCUGUAAUUAAUAUUUUCCCCUGUGUUUUGUCUGAAAGUCGUUAAGUUGAAGCUGGAAUUAUAGAUGUGUGUACAUCUCUCUUUAAGGAAACACACAAAACAAAUGGGAAUUUACCAAAUGAUAUCAUUCUCCACUGACUGGAUUUAUAUAUGACACUUCUUGAAUGUACUUUUCUCAUAAUGUGGGGGCACACCUGCAUUGGAAAUAGCUUCUUUGAGAAAUGUUAGAUGUUGCAAUUUGGUAAUAUCUUAAGUGUGAAUUUGUGUGUGUGUGUGGGGGCAGGGGGGAAGGGAGGAUAAGGAAGGAUUCACAGUGUUCAGAAGAGGACUGAUGAGGCUCCCUCCAUGAGCAGGCUAGUAGCGCAAAGCCUAAUCAACACUUCUGUGAGGAAGUUAGCAGCCUUCCUUCUGACCUGACUGCUUCCGCUUCUGGUGGUGGCAGCGCUGUCAAGCCUCAUUACUGGAAAGUUCAUCUUGUUAAAUUUCCACUUAGAGCAGGGGAUGUGUUAGAAGAUAGCUCAGACUCUGUGGCCAUUAUGACAUCAAACUCAGACAGUGACAUUCCAAGUGGUAGUCAAGGAGUUUUGUUUCUAGCUUCAUUGAAAAAUGUGAACAUUGGCUGGGCACGGUGGCUCACACCUGUAAUCCCAGCACUUUGGGAGGCCGAGGUGGCUGGAUCAUUUGAGGUCAGGAGUUUGAGACCAGCCUGGCCAACAUGGUUUCAUGGCAUGAUAUGGCUCAAUCCACAGACAAAGGCUGCUGAGCCCAGAACAGCUUAUUGGACGAGCCCCUAUGAGAAGCAGAAAUGUAUAGAAGCAAACUGAACCCAAGGAAAGAUUGGUGAUACUUUGGGAGGGAUGACAGAGGAAGGGGAAACACACUGUCCAUCCCUGUCCCAGCAAGGAGCCAGCUCCCAUUCGGCAGUCCCUCUGAACAUCUAGGUAGCUUCCCCCUUCUUUCUGUCCAGUUGUGAGCAGCCACCAACUAUGAUGCCCCUCUUCCAGCAGGCUUUGCUUUCACAUCACAAAGCAUCAUCCUGAGAAACAAUUACAGUUCUUUUUAGAGUUCUGGUUCCUUCAUAGGUACCUAUUGUCCUAAUAAAUGGAAUUCCUUGGAACACAAAAGCAUUUAUUUCCUCUUUUAGCUAAUUUAAUUUUUACAGC
rnacentral:lncRNA from 1 species